UAGGGGUUCUGAGAGGAAGGUCCCCCACAUUGGAACUGAGACACGGUCCAAACUCCUACGGAAGGCAGCAG
rnacentral:rRNA from 1 species